rnacentral:rRNA from 1 species
GAUGAACGCUGGCGGCGUGCCUAAUACAUGCAAGUCGAGCGAACGGACGAGAAGCUUGCGUCUCUGAUGUUAGCGGCGCACGUGUGAGUAACACGUGGAUACCCUACCUAUAAGACUGGGAUCUCUUCGGGACACCGUAGCUAAUACCGUAUAAUCUUUUGAACCGCAUGGUUCAAAAGUGAGAGACGGCCUUUCUGUCACUUAUAGAUGCAUCCGCGCUGCAUUAGCUAGUUGGUAAGGUAACGGCUUACCAAGGCAACGAUGCAUAGCCGACCUGAGAGGGUGAUCGGCCACACUGGAACUUGACCACGGUCCAGACUCCUAAGGGAGGCAGCAGUAGGGAAUCUUACGCAAUGGGCGAAAGCCUGACGGAGCAAGGCCGCGUGAGUGAUGAAGGUCUUGGGAUCGUAAAACCCUGUUAUUAGGGAAGAACAUAUGUGUAAGUAACUAUGCACAUCUUGACGGUACCUAAUCAGAAAGCCACGGCUAACUACGUG